rnacentral:lncRNA from 1 species
CAAAAUAUCCGCCUCCAUUGACCCUUUUGUGCGCCUGUAAAAAAAACAAAAGAAGAAACACGACAGACAACAGAGCAAGAAACAACAAAAGGAAUAGUAGGCAAAUAAUAAACAAUGUAUGUUCUCGGCUAUAAAAGCCCGAGACCAAGAAUGUAAAAAAGGGGGGAGAUUUUUCAGAAAUCAAAAAGCAAAUGUAAAAAAAAAAAGAGAAACACUGAAAUCUAAAAGAGGUCUCUUGAUUCUUUUUAUUUUUCUGUUUAUUAUAUAUAUAUUUUUUGUAAAUCGGUAGAAACAAAAAAGUAAAAGGAGGAAAAGGCUCACCUGAACCUCGCGGUCGCGCCGUCGGAGGAUUUUUCUCCGUCGCCCAUAUUAGACCCGAAAUGGGGGGUUGGGAGCCUCUUCCGUUCAACAUCAUCGGGCUUUGGUAGCUUGGCCUUCAAAGGCGCUGCAAAGCGGGGCUAAAAAGCCCAUUCUUCUCGACGCCGGCCACUGGCCAUGGCGGCGGUAGGGAGGGCAGACGGUGGCCCGAUCAACC